AGGGCGGCAGGGCAACCCUUCCAGGCCUGCCGGCCCCUCCCUCCAGGAGAUGAGAGCGGGGAGCAAGGAGAGCCCCAAGGAGGAGAACAGGGCCCGGAAGCAGCUCCAGCGGGUGGCAUCCCCCGGUCCUGGCCGCGUCUCCCUCUCGGUCUCCCUCUCCGGCCAGCCCUGGGAUGGGCAGCAGGCAGGGGCAGGGGAAGAGACCAGUACCUCCUGAGACUCCUGCUCCCAACCUCCCCCUCUCGCCCUGCUGGCCUCAGCCUCAAGCAGCCACUGACACCAGCAACUUCCCCAGCAAAGGAAACUCCUUCCGACUGGUCCCUCAGAGCGGGGACCACCGCACCCCAACAUCCCUGCCGGAAGCAGACACCAAAGGCAGGAGACAGGAGACUGACAGCCACAGCCCCCGUAGCCAGCCCGGACCGGAAGCAGGGCAUCGGAGGGCUUGGUGACAGGUGGCCAAGAGGUCCCGGAGCUCAGCCAAACCCUUCUCCAAGCUUCAAUCUUCCAAAGAGUAAAGUGACAAGGAAGGCCCAGAGGAGGGGCAAACGGCAUCAGGAAAAAUUAGGGGGGCAUCCGGGGCCAGUGAUAGUCAAGCCAUCCGAGGGCUGCUCCCCCUCACUUGGGCAACAGUGAAACCCUGUGGAUUCAGGCAAGAGGGGCACCUUCCCAGCACCCUGUGUGGACAGGGUGGAGACAGAAGCAUCAUUGCGCCCACUCCCUGCCUCCAGAACAAGAUGACUUCACCCCUUCUUAAGUGGAGAGCCUGGGUUCCCAGAGUCCCAGAUUCCAGCACAUCAGAACCUACCAGCCUUGCCGGUGGCCGCAGACUGUGUGUGUGGGUGCUGCCAGAGACAGAGAUGGGAGAGAAUGGCCCCACUGGCGGUGCCUCUGAGCCUGAGGACUGUGUCGGGAGACCUGCCCAGUGGCCUUGGUUCCCUGCCCAGCCCUCACUGGCCCCAACUCUAGAGCAAAGGUGAAUCCCAAUAGCCUUGUCCUGCUCACCCCCACACCCCUGCAGACCAAGGGUGGCUUGGGGGCUUAGAUCAGCCCCGUCAGGUGAGGGAAGGGAGAGAUUCCACGUCAGCAAUCCGGGCUCCUCUAGAGGUGGAUGGGGAGUCUGCCACAAAAGUGGGAACCCCUCUCCCCAUCCCCAAGUGCAGGACUGCACAUCUGAUUCCAGGGUGAUCCUCUCCAUCUCCUAACGCACACCCACUAUCACCCUGAUUGACACCAAACUGUCCCCGGCUCUCCACUGCCCACCAGAUCCAGUCUGAGCUCUGCAGAAGGACCCUCUGUGACAAAGCCCCACCUCUGAGCCUUUUCAAGGCACAAUUCCCUCUUCCAUCAGCAAUCAGGCUUCAACUCAAAAGCCACAUCCUCCCUGGGUCCUUCUGCAACUGCACCAUUUGGUAGGUACCUUGCCUUCCUCUGAACACCCAAGGCUCUUGCUCAUACAUUAACGCCAGGACACUCACUUGUCGGGUGCACUUCUAGAUCUCCCAGUGAGUUGAGCAAAGAUUUAUUCUUCAUCCUCUUCCCCGACCCCAGUGUGCUCAAUGCCCAACACAAGGUGGGCACCUAGAUUCUCAAAGAAUGCAGAAUGAAAAAAACGGAUGGUAGAGAGAUGGAUGGAACUGAAUAAAAGAGCACUUUUAAACGCUUGAUUCUGCACCAGACUGUACCCCAGACAACUUUGGCAGACUUUUAUCUUCGAAGCUGUAUAAAAAACUGACUGUGCUAAGAUACGAGGACCAUGUACAUGACGUCCCAGGCGCACCCCAACCACCCCAGGUCUGCAGCAGACAGGAGGAGCUCUGAGACAUGCCAGCCUCAGCUGCUUGCCAGGAGCCCCUAGAGAUGCCUCGCUCUAUCGUCCACCCCAAAACACCCCUCUUUCCCAGCCCUCCUGCUCCAGCACCUGGGCACAGAAGCGUGAAUUCAGCAAGUCUCUAGAAACCACACAGACAGGAAGUCGAAGAGCUAGAGGAUCCCAAAGAAAAAUAAAAGCCUUCCCUUUUAUUUCCAA